ACCUGGGUAGCUCUGUUGGUAGAGCAUGUGACUCUUGAUCUCAGGGUUGUGGGUUCAAAGCCCACGUUGGGAA
rnacentral:tRNA from 1 species